rnacentral:lncRNA from 1 species
AGAGCUUCCCGCGACUCCUGCAUAACAACACGCGAGGAAAGCGAACGGAUCCAUUCGUUAACCAAUUUAGGCUUUCUCAUUGCUUAGCUCAACAACCGGUGGGUCGGAUGCAGUCUGUUUGGGCUUGGGGGGGGUCUGAUUCCUAUUUAAAGGACAAGCGCAUUCUCCUCUGUGACUCGGCCUCCCUUUUUCCCUCCUACUGCCCGCCCCCUCUCUCCCCGUGCCCGAACCUUUGCUUCCCUUGGAACUGAUAAAAUAAAAAACGCCUGCUGUCAGUCGCCCUGACACAACACCCCACACCCCACGCACCAUCUCCUCGUCCCGCUGCACCAGCAGGUCCAGGUAGUCAGAGCUCAUGUCGAACUGCGCGCUCGCGCUGUGCCGCGACAAGCUCUUGCCGCCGCCGUUUGCCGUUGACGCCAGCAGCGCCGAGUCACUGGUGCUGGACUUGAGCCCGUUGGCGGCGCCACUGGUGUGUGCGUUGGCCGCAGCCGCCUCCAUUCGCUCCUGAACCCCAGCGUAGCCGUGCCGGUAGUGCUUUCGGUGCGCACGCCUGUAAACGUUGUGAAGCUGACAUGUUGGUAUGGAGCGCUUUCCUGAGGGUGGAUACAAUAAAAGCAGCUGAGCCUUCCCAUCGUUCAAGCAGUCGCCACACUCACUUAACGCUUGCGCCGGGGCCUGUGACGCCGCUCAACGCCCACACCUGCGCAUCAGCACGAAGGCCCAAAACAAAUUGACGCUGGGCGCAGGCUUACUUCCACGGAAUCUCGGUUGCUCUGCCACUCCUUCGCAUCCAUCUACUCUCACCACCACUGCAUGCCCCCAGCCUCGCCCUAGCCGCUCUCCAGCCGCUCCUAGCGGCGCCCAGCCCAGCCCCAACCCCUGCUGGCCCACCUCUCUGUUGAGGUCGUGCAGCGACUUGAGAGCCUUCUUCAUCUCGCGCAGGCUCUCGAUGGAGGCGCUGCGGGGCAGCACCAGCACCGCCAGCAGCACACUGAACAGCCCGCCCGCGAAGAUGCCGCCCACACGCAGCAGCGCCAGCUGGAGGGCGCCUGGGAGGCGGCAUUGUCAGCACGAGGUUAGGACGGAGUCGGAAUGGUGCAGCGAAAACCUCGUGCGAAUACAUGGUGGAAUGAAAUUAGGGUUGGAGCAAGGACGACGAUAUGGGUCGGAAGGCGCAUGGGGUUGGGGCGUGCUUCGGGGAUGAGGAAGUUGGGCCAGGGCAGUAGGUCCGCCCGCCCCCCCUGGGGAUGGCAACAGGGGCAUCGAAGUCCGCAACCCACCUUUAUCCGGCUUGGCACCAAAAGCCACAAUGCAGUACGUCAACUGCAUGAAACGCGCUGCGAGCACGAAGGCGGGGUUUGGGGACACGUCGGCAAACUUGCCCUUGCCAUAGACCUAGCAGGUGGGAUUGUGGAACAAGCACUCCAAAGUCCCCGCACCCUCGCUGUCCCACUUCUUCACGCAGCACGCCCGACGAUGUGAGCCCCAGUUCCCAGAGUUAUGCGGCAACGUACCCAGCUGGUCCAGCGAACGCUUGAAGGCCCUGCAAGGCGUGCAUCAGACGGGCAAGGGUUGCGGGCCAGUAACCAUCAGCUUUUGAACUGCCACCAGCUUUGGAGCUGCCACCAAGGCUGCCACUGGCUAAACCACAGCAGUGUUCAACACCAUUGUUCGCGCGAUAUCACACGCGCCAGCUGCACUUGUCACGAGCAUAGCAGCGAACAGUAUGUGGUAGGCCGCAGCAUUAAGGAGUGUUGUGGCUAGAGGAUUUCCUGCUGGUGGGUUGAUUGCGGCUGUGCUUGUGCUUGACCGCGAGACGUGGC